AUUCAGGAAACCGGAGCGUCUCCACGGCGACA
rnacentral:misc_RNA from 1 species